AUUCCAGCUCCAAUAGCGUAUAUUAAAGUUGUUGCAGUUAAAAAGCUCGUAGUUGGAUUUCUGAAUGGGUGAGUUGGUCCGCCUCACUGUGUGUUACUGACUGGUCUGUUCUUCUUCUCAUAGACUAUGUAUUCUCUUCGUUGAUUGUGCGCAGGAUUUACGACGUUUACUUUGAAUAAAUUAAAGUGUUCAGAGCAGGCCUACCGCUUGAAUACUUGAUCAUGGAAUAAGGAAAUAGGACUCUGGUCUUAUUUUGUAUUUUUUCUAAUACCGAAGUAAUGAUUAAGAGGGAGAGUUGGAGGCAUUCGUAUUUCGUUGUCUGAGAUGAAAUUCUUGGAUUUACAAAAGACGAAAAAAUGCAAAAGUGUUUGCCAAGAAUGUUUUCAUUAAUCAUUAAAGAAAGAUAGAGGAUCGAAGAAUAUCGGAUACCGUCAUACUUCUAAACAUAAACGAUGUCAACUAGGGAUCAACGGAUGUUAUAUACUACCUCGCUGGCAACUUACGGGAAACCAAAGUUUUUGGAUUCCGGGGGAAGUAUGGUUGCAAAGCUGAAAGUUAAAGGAAUGGACGGAAGGGCACCACCAGGAGUGGAUCAUCCGGCUUAAUUUGACUCAACACGGGAAAACUCAGCAGGUCCAGACAUAGUAAGGAUUGACAGGUUGAGAGCCCUUUCUCGAUUCUAUUGGUGGUGGUGCAUGGCCGUUGUUAGUUGGUGGAGUGAUUUGUCUGAUUAAUUCCGUUAACGAAUCGAGACCUUAACGUGCUAAAUAGUGUCGCAAUUCUCGAUUUGUGACUCACUUCUUAGAGGGACUGUUCGUGUUUAAUCAAAGUCAGGAAGACAAUAACAGGUCUGUGAUGACCUUUAGAUGUUCUGGCCCGCACGCGCGGUACACUCUUGGAUUCAGUGAGUCUUAUCGUUAGCCGAAAGGUUUGGGUAAUCUUUUGAAAGUCCAACGUGAUGGGGAUUGCCCAUUCCAAUUAUUGGUCAUGAACGAGGAAUUCCUAGUAAGCGCGAGUCAUCAUCUCGCGUUGAAUACGUCCCUGCCCCUUGUA
rnacentral:rRNA from 1 species